rnacentral:rRNA from 1 species
UGGGGAAUUUUGGACAAUGGGCGCAAGCCUGAUCCAGCCAUGCCGCGUGCAGGAUGAAGGCCUUCGGGUUGUAAACUGCUUUUGUACGGAACGAAAAGACUCUGGUUAAUACCUGGGGUCAAUGACGGUACCGUAAGAAUAAGCACCGGCUAACUACGUGCCAGCAGCCGCGGUAAUACGUAGGGUGCGAGCGUUAAUCGGAAUUACUGGGCGUAAAGCGUGCGCAGGCGGUUAUGUAAGACAGAUGUGAAAUCCCCGGGCUCAACCUGGGACCUGCAUUUGUGACUGCAUAGCUAGAGUACGGCAGAGGGGGAUGGAAUUCCUCGUGUAGCAGUGAAAUGCGUAGAUAUGCGGAGGAACACCGAUGGCGAAGGCAAUCCCCUGGGCCUGUACUGACGCUCAUGCACGAAAGCGUGGGGAGCAAACA